rnacentral:rRNA from 1 species
GCCCAGACUCCUACGGGAGGCAGCAGUUGGGAAUCUUGGACAAUGGGGGAAACCCUGAUCCAGCCAUGCCGCGUGAGUGAUGAAGGCCUUCGGGUUGUAAAACUCUUUCGCGCACGACGAUAAUGACGGUAGUGCGAGAAGAAGCUCCGGCUAACUUCG